CAGGCCUGAAUUGAGGCAAGGCCAGAGUCAGGACACAACUAAUAGAUGCUGGAAGUGUUGACGGAAACCACUCUUGCAGAGGAACAAUGCAGGCUGAGCUUCAGUUGCCGGCUAUGACAUCAUGACCGAGAGCAGACAGUGUAACAUGUCACACGGAUUCAACCUCUUCACUCGCUGUGCAAAUUUGAAUCGGUUCCAAACAGUCAAGCCUGCCAGAAAAAACAGACAAACUCUCAAGAACAACAAUGCCUAUUAUGUGUGGUGGAGGAGCCGCCAGAUUUUGAUUACCGGACAGACAUUAACUCCUUUGGUGUCUCAUGCAAGAAAUGCCAAGUCUGAAUCCAGAUAUUUUCCAGAAUAGCAUGAGAUCUGCAAUUUACAGUGUCUUCUGCAAAAAAAAAAAAAAGCAACUGAGAGAAGGAAAUGCAAGUUAAAGACCACAUCUCCUGGUUUCUCGAAUUCUGCCAUGACUCUUCCUGGUAAAUGGACAGACUGAGUACCUGUGCUC
rnacentral:lncRNA from 1 species